rnacentral:rRNA from 1 species
AUUGAACGCUGGCGGCAGGCCUAACACAUGCAAGUCGAGCGAGCGGCGGACGGGUGAGUAAUGUCUGGGAAACUGCCUGAUGGAGGGGGAUAACUACUGGAAACGGUAGCGAAUACCGCAUACCAUCAUAUGUGCCCAGAUGGGAUUAGCUAGUAGGUGGGGUAACGGCUCACGUAGGCGACGAUCCCUAGCUGGUCUGAGAGGAUGACCAGGCAAACUGGAACUGAGAGACGGUCCAGACUCCUAGGGGAGGCAGCAGUGGGGAAGAUUGUACAAUGGGAGCAAGGCUGAUGCAGCCAUGCCGCGUGUGUGAAGAAGGCCUUCGGGUUGUAAAGCACUUUCAGCGGGGAGGCGUUACCCGCAGAAGAAGCACCGGCUAACUCCGUGCCAGCAGCCGCGGUAAUUC